AGAAAGAGCUUGCUAGCUUGGUGGCCCUCACAGAUCAAGUCGGUUAUGCAAUUUGUAUAGGAAUAAAUAAUUGAAGAAGAUGCAGUGAAAUUUGUUUGCCGAGAAGCUAAGCAGAUGCACUGAAGUCAUCUUGUGUCAUUCCAUAUCAUGCUACAUUGCCCUAACCUGCACUGCUUUCAUUGAUUUAGACGCUUUUUAAUUUGUUGCAUCGUUUGAAUUGUAAGACCUUGUGAUAUUUUCUGAAGAUUUGUAUAAGUUUGUAA